rnacentral:lncRNA from 1 species
UGGUGGAAAUUGGAAUAUGAUCCCUUUACUAAGAAUAGGACACCUAAAAGCUAUACUUGUUAAUACAGAAUACAAAGAGUGAGAUACUCCUUUGGAUGAAUCUACAAGACCAGGAGUAAGACCUGCGUUUGGGGGGAGUUGAACUAGCUUGCUUUUCUACUAUUUACUUCACUUUGUUAUUGUUAAUGCGGGAGUAGUUCUUUCUUUAUGAGAAUCUCUACUCUUUAGACUAAUGCUGUCCCUUGAGUUGCGUCCAGGAAACUGCUGUACGGCCAAGGCGGAUGUACGGUACAGCAGCAGGGAAAGCUGCUUGAGAGUCACCCGCUUCUCUUUCGAUUAUGAUGUAUGUAGCCCAACGGUUCCAACAGAAAGUCAAGAUCUAUUGACGUUGAUCCCGCGCCUGCUAAAGAGUACUUCUUAGUUAAGGAUCUGUACCACGUUCCCCUUUCAUCUCCUUCACUUUCUUACCCUGAGGUCUUAUCAACCUCUUAGUAAGGAAGAUCUGGUUAGGACCCAGACGCCCACCCCCGGAAUCCGAACUGGAUUUCGUCAAUGAG